CCUAGUAACGGCGAGUGAAGCGGCAACAGCUCAAAUUUGAAAUCUGGCCUCCCUUGGGGGUCCGAGUUGUAAUUUGCAGAGGGUGCUUUGGCGUCGGCAGCGGUCUAAGUUCCUUGGAACAGGACAUCACAGAGGGUGAGAAUCCCGUACGUGGUCGCCUGCCUUCGCCGUGUAAAGCCCCUUCGACGAGUCGAGUUGUUUGGGAAUGCAGCUCUAAAUGGGAGGUAAAUUUCUUCUAAAGCUAAAUACCGGCCAGAGACCGAUAGCGCACAAGUAGAGUGAUCGAAAGAUGAAAAGCACUUUGGAAAGAGAGUCAAACAGCACGUGAAAUUGUUGAAAGGGAAGCGCUUGCAGCCAGACUUGCUCGUAGUUGCUCAUCCGGGUCCGCCCGGAGCACUCUUCUGCGAGCAGGCCAGCAUCAGUUUGGGCGACCGGAUAAAGGCCUCUGUCAUGUACCUUCCCUCGGGAAGGCCUUAUAGGGGAGGCGUAAUGCGGCCAGCCCGGACUGAGGUCCGCGCAUCUGCUAGGAUGCUGGCGUAAUGGCUGUAAGCGGCCCGUCUUGAAACACGGACCAAGGAGUCUAACAUCUAUGCGAGUGUUUGGGUGUCAAGCCCGGGCGCGUAAUGAAAGUGAACGGAGGUGGGAACCCUCUCCGGGGGGUGCACCAUCGACCGAUCCUGAUGUCUUCGGAUGGAUUUGAGUAAGAGCAUAGCUGUUGGGACCCGAAAGAUGGUGAACUAUGCUUGAAUAGGGUGAAGCCAGAGGAAACUCUGGUGGAGGCUCGCAGCGGUUCUGACGUGCAAAUCGAUCGUCAAAUUUGGGCAUAGGGGCGAAAGACUAAUCGAACUAUCUA
rnacentral:rRNA from 1 species